AGGUUCUCACUAGAUCUCCACUGAAAUCACCCUGUCUGAGAAGAGGAAAGGCUCUUACUGCUUCCCCCAGAGCCUCCCCUGAUACUAUGGUUGCCACUGAGACGUCCUGAAAGACUCACUCUCGGCUUGGUCUCAGUGGAAUAGGGAGGGCACCGUAUUUUCUGCUGGGUGGGAGUGGGGUUCUGGCUCCCCACACGGUCUCCAUGGACACCACCCAGCGGGAUGGGGGUGUUUUGUUUCCAUCUGGCAGGGAAGAAAUUCCCAGCCCCCUACUCAGUCUUACUCAACGGUGUUCUGAGGACCCGGCGGUGCCUGCUGAGCAUGGAAAUUCAAGCUCUUCACACUUGGCCUUUGCUGGUGUGAGGCUGAAGGUUUUUCUGUGGUGGUUCUCUGGAGUAGAGAGGUUAUUGUCUAAAAAUGAUCUGUCUUGCUAGGUUGCUCCUUUCUUUCUUAGAUUCUUUGUUAAAGCGAGCAGCUCUUCUCAGGGUCUUUUUGGUCUGCACUGAUUGGCGCUUCCAGCUUGCCACCUUCCCCAUUACCCAGUGUGGGAUGUGUGAAGCAAAAAGGAAACCCAGGUCCUCCCUCAGGUGCUAAAGUUCCGUGCCUGUCUGUCUUCUCCUCACUCUUCAGUCUUCUUGUGUUUGCUUUGUAUAUAAUGUCCAGAGAUUGUAGUUGUACUUAGCAGGAGGAAUACAGGAAAGAAUGUCUACUCCAUCUUCGAGAAGUGGGAGUCUUGUCUCCUGCUUUUGUAAGAUAACAGGUUUAGAUCUACACACACAUUUGCCUGGCUACACCUCUGUUCUCCCUGUAUCAGAGCACUUGUCACAGAAUGACAGUGAUUGUGCAAGUAUGUCUGAUCUCCUCUCGCCUGUGAGUAUGCCAGGAAGGCCGGUCUUGAUUUCAGUAUUUCUCAGCACAUAGUGGUCAUUCACUGCCGGUUGAGGUGCGUCUGCUGCCCAUUUCUAGCCAUGUCUUUUCAUAGGUGUGUGCAGCCCGAAAACCAUCAGUCACCUGCCCAGGUACCUCAGGACACCCUCAUCUUCCAUAUUGUGCCUGGAAUUGCUGAACUUGGGCCACAGAGGGUUCUGCUUCCAGGCUGGCUUCGCCUGGAGGAUAGUGGUUUCGGUGAAUCUCCUUAUCACCUGGUCCAACCGUAUCAUUUUACAGAUGGGCAAAGGAAGGCCUAGCAGGCGUACGGCUAUGGGCCAUAUAGUGGUGCGUACCCGCCAGGAACUCAAGUUGUCUAUGCUGCGAAUGGGCAGGCCUAUGCUGUGCCCUACCAGUACCCAUAUGCAGGACUUUAUGGACAGCAGCCUGCUAACCAAGUCAUCAUUCGAGAGCGGUAUCGAGACAACGACAGUGACCUGGCACUGGGCAUGCUGGCAAGAGCAGCCACGGGCAUGGCCUUAGGGUCUCUAUUUUGGGUCUUCUAGGGGCCUCAAGGUCUUGAUGUGCAUAGCUUCUGAUAACCCUGUGUGCAAUAAUAUGAUUUGCAGGGCAUUUCUGUGUGUGACAAAUGUUUUUAAUAAUAGUUUUAAUGGUUCCUUUGAAAGUAGUGAUGUCAUAAUUGUAACUAAUCCACAUAAGUACCACAGAGAAAGGUUUGAACUGUGCUGUUGUGUUCAAACGCUGGCUCUCCGGGGCACUGGCUCAUUCCAAGACUGUCCUUGUGCAACUCUCGGAACACCUUAUUUGAGCACACCUGUUUUGAAAGGCAUUUUCUUUUUAGAGUUAGGUGUAGUGCUUAAGGGUUAAUUUAUUUUCAUGUUAUGCUGGUAAUAUAGUGUUGUAUGCCUAAUGAGUGAUUGUGGCAAGAAAAGCUAUAGCUUUCCAUUUAACUUUUUCAAACCACAGACCAGAACUGGUUGCUUGUUACUUUAGGAGUUGUGGGUUGGUAAGCUCCCAGGUACUUCCCGGGGCCAUGGUGUGAGAGCCCCUGUCCUGCCCUCUGGGGCUCCACAGGCCCCCGGCAAGGCCUACGGCUCAGGAUGACAGGGCACAGCCCGCCUUUGAAAAAUGAUGCUUCAGAAGUCUGCCUGACUCUAGCUGCUGCUUCUCACCUUAUUCUGGUAUGGUUUUGGUAGCCAUACUUGGAGAACGUUUCCCGCAUUGGGAAUUGAUUUGAGCCUGCAAGUUUGAGGGCUUUAUCCUUUAAAACUUGGAGAAGCCGGAACAAUAACAAGUGUGUGGAGGCAGAUUUGCUUUAUUCCAAGAGAGCUGUUUGAGUGUGUGUCUGCCUAAGCCUCCCGAUAGCCUAGUUUUCUACUUGCUGAGGAUGUAAUGUUAAAGGAACAGCGAGGGAGCGGAAGGAGAGCCUUAGUUAGGGCGUUCCCAUUUCAGGCCUUCACGGGGUUACGCUGUGCGGGAGAUGCUCUCAUCUCUCUGAAGGCCCAUCCUGUGCAGAAGUGGGGCCUGUGACUGUUCACGGAGCACCAGGGCAGACCGUAGCUGAGCAGACUUGGGUUAUGGGUGGGAAAUGGGGCCCAGGGACCCUCAGGACACAGGGACUGGCUCAAGGUACCACUCAGCCCGGUCAGGAUCCCCAGCCUUGCUUUUGUUCUUGAUCUCUUUGUGAUAGAGAAGCUUAGAACAUUGAAUUUUGAGCCCCAAAAUGUGUGAGUCUUUGGAAAAACCAUUCCAGCCUUUCUGUCAAAUGCUCUUAUUUUCAGUAUUCUGAUGUAUGUAUUUGAAAUAUUCACAUUUCUGUUAUUUCUUGUUUUUAAGCUCUGAAUUAUUCCAGUUUUCUGUCCUGCAUGCUUUCAACAGUGUGCUUUUACAGAGGCAGUUUAGCACAGUGAAUGUCCCUGCCCCACACUCCAUAUGGUCCUGUUGUCCUGAAAAUACACUCCAGGUAGCACAGACUUGUUAUUUUGCCUGGCUGGUUACACACAUGCUGUCUUGCUUUGCUGCUCAGCCACCUCCCUCUGAGGCCAACUUAGGCCAACCUACCUGGGACUCCAUCUAAAGUCAGACGCCAGAGAAACUGAGUGGUGACCACGGGUCUGCUUUUCUCUCUGAUCCUAGGGGACGUGUUGACAUGGGAGUAUCUGUUCCCACAUGGAAGGAUGUGUGUUUAUCUCUCAUCUCUGAAUAGAUGUAAUAUAUGACAAGUCUAGUGUCCAUGGUUUAAAAUGUUGCUUUGAGGAUUCUCCAUCCUGUAUAAGAAGAAUGACUUUCUUCAGAUUAUAAUCAUUAUUAAAGCUGUAUGUACCCUUUACUUAAAAACUAUUAACAGUUUUUCAUGUUGCACUGGUAAUUUUGAACUUGGAAUUGCUGGGUGAGAAUUCCAGGAACCACAGAGUAUUGAUUUUUGCUGCCAAAAUGCUAUUGAGGCAGAUGUUCCUGUGCUCCCUUGGCUGCUUCUGGCUGAAGGGGAGAGGUGUGGACUGAAGCUUGGGCACUCAUGUGUGUCCCCUCCCCAGUCCCCAUCCCAGUGGGGCCAGCCUCAUUAGGCAGCCAUAGAUGAGCCUGGAACUUGACUGUCACUAGUGACUUGAUCCUGGUGUAAAAUGCAUACUCGGGAUAAGGUCACUCAGGUAUUUUAUUUCUUGGCCACAACUCCCAUAGAUGCCAAUGUUUUGAUAGCCUCGGUUUCUCAACGAUGUCCUUUGUUUACAGUGCUACACUUCAUACAAGUCAAGAAGUACUUGAGUUAGAAGAAACUUCUUAUUCAGGUUUGAGUAAGCAUUUUACUUCCAUGUGUACUUUUAAAUAAUCCAUACCUUGAAGAAGUUGGCCAGUGACAUUAUAUACAUGCUGAUCUGGUUGUUCUUUUCAUUCCUUGAGUCAGCUUCAGGGUCUUGGAUAUUAAAGAGGAGAGGGAGAACUGUUAAUAUUUCGGGUCAUCAUUUGUGAACAAGGCCAGACUUUGCCCAUUUUAGGUUAUCCAGGACUCAAGGUAGCCAUCUGGAUCAUAAGAAGGUCCUGCAGUUGAGACAAAAUGACCCAAGUGUAUUUUCCACAAGUUUUGAUCCUCUGUAAUAUUUCUUUUUCCUUCCCUAGUGUGUGUAGAUGAAGGCAUGGAAUGCAGUUCCACUUUCUCCCCAGAGUUGAUCUUUUUGUGAUUGCUUUCCCGUCUCUAGUAUUCUGUUGUGUCUAGAGAACUGAUUUUUUCCUACAUAUGCAGAUUGUACAUUUGUAAGUGAAAAUGUCAAUACAUUAAAGCAUUAACCUUAAAGCAUG